rnacentral:lncRNA from 10 species
GGCAGGCUUCCUUGAGCUGUGGUGGGCUCCACCCAGUUCGAGCUUCCCAGCUGCUUUGUUUACCUCAGCAAGCCUGGGCAAUGGCGGGCGCCCCUCCCCCAGCCUCGCUGCGGCCUUGCAGUUUGAUCUCAGACCGCUGUGCUAGCAAUCAGCGAGACUCCGUGGGCGUAGGACCCUCCGAGCCAGGUGCAGGAUAUAGUCUCCUGGUGCGCCGUUUUUUAAGCCCGUCGGAAAAGCGCAAUGCCUCGCCCUGCUUCGGCUCACGCACGGUGCACGCACCCACUGACCUGCGCCCACUGUCUGGCACUCCCUAGUGAGAUGAACCCGGUACCUCAGAUGGAAAUGCAGAAAUCACCCGUCUUCUGCCUCGCUCACGCUGGGAGCUGUAGACCGGAGCUGUUCCUAUUCGGCCAUCUUGGCUCCAUAUCCCCCUCUACUCUUAUCUGCUUCGUUUUUGGGCUUCUUCUUAUUCAUGAAACACCACUGCACCUGCUUCUGCUGCUGCCACUGCAUUCCAGGCUGAGACUACUCCUACCUGCAGAAAAAGAGGUCACUACAUAAAUAUCAAGGUUCUGCUGUCACCACCAUCCAUGCCACUCCUGGUGCCUAACAGCUUGAUGCCCCAGAGACAUAAUUACCUCUGCUUCUUGAAGUUCUGGUACUGUC